AUCUGGAGCGGUCAAUCCCUUCUUGACUCAUACACAGACUUCGCGAGUACUUAACUGCACCCAGCAACUUUUCAAUAUCUGAAUUAGAAAUUCAGAUCGUUCAGUGCUAAAGUACAGUGAGUUGCUUGCAAGUCACCGUGAUAGUCUCAGGUCUAAGGGAUACUUAUGCCCAUAUGCUUUGUGAGCUAACUCCUGACAGUGGAGUGCUCAACAGGUGAGUCACUGUUCAGCGACGAUGUACUCCUACAUCUCACCUAUAUGCCAUACCAGUGUCUCCACACUCCUUGGUUAAGAGGACAACCAACUAAAUGGCAUACAACGACCUAUACUUGACCUAGCUAUUGUCCAAUUAAUAGCUUGUCAUUUGGUCGCGAACCAAUUUAAGGACUAAAUGAUAAAACCUCCUUUAUCCACUAAAUUAGUCCUAAGGACUUCAUCACAAUACACAGAAGUUCCUAUUUGAAGAUGCAACACUUGUGAUGAAAAGAAUGCCAGAAUAGAUUUUAUUAUUCAUUAAAUAAAACAUAUACAUUAUUCUUACAAUAAAAAUUGGCUUUGGGACACAAUUCCCAAC
rnacentral:lncRNA from 1 species